UGGGAUAUAAGCAAAACAGAGAAAGACACAGAAGUCAAUUGGAAUCAAACUACCCUGGAAGAAGAACUCUCUAAGAGCAGUACUGCUCAAGAGAACUUUGUGAUGAUGUAACUGUCUUGUCUGUGCUAACAUGUCCAACAUGAUAGCAACUUACUGUGUGUAGCUAUUGAGCACUUGAUAUAUGACUAAUGAGAUUGAGGAACUGAAUUUUUAUUUAAUAGACACCUGUGGCUAUAAAAUUGGACAGUGUAGUUCUGGAACAGCAAUUAAUGUCUGGAUAUAAGAAAUGUUUGAGUUCCUAUAAUGAAUACAUUAACUGAGGAGAUGUAAGCUAGUCAUGGCUGAGCUUGUUAGCUCAGGUGAGGUCAGUGUUUUUCAGAAAGAAUUAGUGAUAUAUAUAUUUUUACCUUUUCAUUAGUAGACAACUUUGUUGCUGAAUAAUUGUGAUACAAAAUAUAAAUUUUAAUAUUGAAACAAAAUAGAAUUGCAUUCCUGCUUUUUACAGGUUAUAACAGUAGCCACCAAAAUCUCAAAGUACAUCCAUGUCUUUUUUUAGUUAUUUAUCCUGAUUGAAGAGAUCUGAUAGAGAGGAGGAGGAAAGAAAGGAAGGAUGGACAGUUGGAUGGAUGAGAAAACAAUGUAAUAUGUUUUAUUCUAAAUAACACAGGAGUGGUACAUUGUUUUUCUCAAAUACCUAAGUAGAUUUGAUGUUAUCUAAGAUUUUUUCCAGCUCUAACUUUGUGAUGCUAAAUUGUAAGAAUGCUGAGCAGAAGGAAAUCUCAGAGUGGAACAGAUUAAUUUAGGAUUUGGAAUUUAUUAUUUGACUUGUAUUGUAUGAUCUCAGUAUCACAGGUCAUAUCAAUGAGUACUUCAAUUUUGCUAAGUAAUUUUAUUUCAUUUAAUGUAGAGUCUUGAUUAAAAGAAAGCUCUGAUAAAUACCCUCUACAGUGUGGUAUUUUCCUGGUUACUCUAAUAACAUUUUUAAGCAUGAUAAUCAUGCCUUUUAAUCAUUCAGAUAGAAACAUACUACUUAAGGAAGCAGCAUGUUUAGAGAAUAGGUGAGAAAUAAAUACAAACAUAAGGUAAUUUAUGUGUCUCCCCAAUUACAGCUCUGUUUAGCACUGAUGAGCAAAAGGAGCAACUUGAAGGCUCAGUCUACUGUUCUUCAUUCUUUCAUUCUGUAUCCCUAAAGGCCUGUCAUUGGCAUUGUGAGGUAAUCCUAUUCUCAUUGGUUCGCUGUGUUGGUAGUAUCAGUUCUUCCAGACUAAGUCAGGAUACUAACUUUUUAAGUGUAAUGCUCUGUUGAUUUUGUCAGUCUAUUGCUCUGUUCAGCUUAUACCUUUACAGAGUGUUCAGAGCUCUCACACCUGUGUAGCCUUAAGUAUUUUGCUCUGCUUUUGGUAUGAAAUAAAUGUUUGAUGAAUUCUUCCCUGCUCGACAGAUUGAGUGAUUGAUGUUUUUCCCGAUACUCUUAGACAGCUACUUUUACUUGGUGGCCCAUUUCUCAGAUAAUUUGCCUGAGUACUCUGAGCACUAUCUCAAAGAGAAGGACACCCAUUUGGAACUGUGUGGCACCCUAAUGUCAAUUUUUUGUUUUUAAAGUAAGGGAUCACAUUAAUCAAAGCCAGAAAUUAGGUGUUUCAGUUAUCAAGACAUCACACCCCAGGUGUGGUGAUUGACAAGAAAGACUCACAAGACUCAGCAUAUAGUCUUACUCACUGUGAAGGUUUAUUUUAUUGUAUAUUAUUUAAUUUUAUAUUUUAUUUUAUAAUUUAUGAGACAGAGUCUCACUUUGUCACCCAGGCUGGAGUGCAGUGGUGCAGUGUCAGCUCGCUAUAACCUCCACCUUCCAGUUUGAAGAGAUUCUUUCUUAUACCUUAGCCUUUCAAGUAGCUAGAAUUACAGAUGUGUGUCCCCAUGCCUGGCUAAUUUUUGUAUUUUAGUAGAGAUGGGGUUUCACCAUGUUGCCCAGACUGGCCUCCAACUCCAGGCCUCCAGUGAUCAGCCUGCCUCAGCCUCCAGAAGUGCUGGGAUUACAGGCAUCAGCCACCACACCUGGCCAAGAUUUAUUACUAUGAAAGGAAUAAAAGGAAAAGGUAAUGUCUGGAAGAAAGCACAUGUGAUCUUAUAAGACUCAUCUCUAAAUGGAAUCACAUUGAAUAUGCUUUGUUCUUCCAGCAAUGAAUUGUGACAGCUCCUGUGAAAUGUAAUCUACCAGGGAGACUCACUAGAGACUCAAAAUCUCAAGUUUCUAUUGGGGACUGACUGGUCAUAUAGGCACUCUGUCUACCAUGUAUCAAUUUCCAGAAACCCAGGAGUAAAGCAGAUGUUCAGCAUGAACCACAUUGUUUGUAUAAACCGGUUAGGUAUAGUAAGGUAUUAGUAUCAGUUAGGGAAUUGUGGAAACAGUUCAGAAAUUGGUUUUCAUAUUGUCAGCCAAGGACCAACUAUGUAAGCAGGACUUUGUAAGGGUAGCAGGCUCAGGCCAGCCAUGGUAACUCUUUUCUGCUCAUGAGAAAUGUCUCAGUCACCAUUUAGACUUGGAACUUUUAACAUAUUUUUAACUUUAUGUCUAGUCUCUUUACUAACUUCUUUUGGUGAACAUUAUUAUCAUUAGGAGAUCAAUAGAAAUAUGGUAUACAGUAUGCCUAUUCCUUCACCUCACGUGGCCAUAUUUAUUUCUUGUACGCGAGAGCACCAAAUCAUCUUUCCUCUUUCUCCUUGCCACAUUUUCUUCUUUUGGCAUUUGCUUUGCCCAGUACUUCAAGAUUGUAUUCCUAUAGUUGCAUCUGAGAUUUUUAAUGACAAAUUAAUUUUUUCUUUAAAGCUGCAGACUAGUAUUGCCUUGAAAGAGCAUUAUGUGAACUGAGCAUGGUGGCUCAUGUGUAUAUUCUCAGCACUUUGGAAGCCUGAAGCCAGUUCAAGACUAGCUUGGGCAACGUAGCAAGACCCCAUCUCUAAAAAUAUUUGAAAAUAGCUGUGGUGUACACCUGUAUUCCCAGCUACUUGGGAAGCUGAAGUGGGAGGAUCAAUUAAGCCUAGGAGUUCAAAGCUACAGUGAGCUAUGAUUGUACCAUUGUACCACUCCAGCCUGGGCAACAGAGUGAGACCCUGUCUCUAAAUACAAUAAAAUUUAAAAAUACAAUGAAUAAAAAGAAAGAUUAUAUGAAUACCUAUUGAUGUGCCUCCUAAGACUUAGAAAUCUCAAAGUUGAACCUCUAGUACCUCAGAGAAGGAUUUGUAUUUAUUAUUAGAUAUAAACUGUAAGGAUUAUAUGGGCAGACUGAGAAGUAAAUUUAACCAUUAAAUCUAGUCUAAAUCAGUGUCAACUCAUACUUCUGAGUAAUUUAAGAAUAAAGGAACUUUAUUCUGCAGGUAGGGUCAUAGUGAAAAGCAUUUUGAUGAAGAUGAUAGGAAAGAGACAUGGAAAUGAUAUGAUUGUGGGAGUCCACAGAAUAGGAAGUAAAUGAUGCUGCCAUAAAAACAGAAUAAAGGCUGGUAUAGAAAUAAGAGAUUAUAUUAAUAGGAACUCCAAUAUGUAAUAUUGGUAUCAAGUAGGAAGAUCCAGCUAUCAAUCCCAAGUGAGGAUUCCCACCACAUGGAGAUUGGUAGCAGUGCCCAUUACCAGAAAUGAGAGAUCAUAGACCUCAGCCCACUGCAUCUUCUGUGGGUUCAGAAUCACCAAGGAAGACUCAACCCACAAGUCACUGAUUGGAACAAUACUUUACUCAAACAAAGGAGAAGAGACUCAGCAAGAUCACUAUCUACAGUGUAUACCAGUGCUAUUGUCUGAUGUGUUCCCCCAUAUUCAUGUGUUGGAAACUUAAUCCCCAAUGAAACAUUAUUGAGAGCUGGGGCCUAAUGGGAGGUAUUAUAUUUAAGUCAUGAGGGCCUCACCCUCAUGAACAGAGUAAUGCUAUUAUAAAAAGAACUUGCAGGAGUGGGUUCCCUUGUUGCUUUUCUGCAUUCUGCCAUGUGAAAACACAGCAUUCCUCCUUUCCAAUGGAGGCAGUGUUGAAAGUGCUAUCUUAGAAGCAGAGAGCAGCCCUCACCAAAAACUGGCAUCUUGAUCUUGGAUUUCUUCAUCUUCUGAACUACAAGAAAUAAAUUUUUUUAUAAGUUAUUCAAUCUGUAGCAUUGUUAUUGCAGCAUACAUGCACUAAGACAGCUGGUCUCUCCUGGCCAAUGAGUUCCUUCUUCAGCCAGUGUGGGGCAAUAGAUUACAUGCACCCUUCUCAUGCUGCAGGUGAAGACCUAGUUCCCUUCCCACAGGGGACAGAUAUAUUGGUGGGGCUGGUCAGGGUCCACAUGAUGUUUUUCUUGAUAAGAAAGGAGAAUUUGAGGCCAUGCAACAGCUCAGCUUCUGUAUAGAGAAUGUUCCUGGCCCAGUUUACUGGUUGAGUAAUCCCAGAGAGCAUUGGCAGAUUACAUGAUGGCUGCUUCCACAACAAUUGGGCAUAUGCUAGAAGACUCACUGUUAUACCUUUAGAAUAUCUGGUGAUGUUUUGAUGGGCCUAAGUGAAGUGAAAGGAAGUAACGAGAAGUACCGCUAUUCUGGAGUUAAUUCCAACUGAUAUGGUUUGGUUCUAUGUUCCCACCCAAAUUUCAUCUUAUAGCUCCCAUAAUUUCCAUGUGUUGUGGGAGGUACCCAGUAAGAGAUGACUGAAUUAUGAGGGUUUGUCUUUCUUGUGUUGUUCUCCUGGUAGCGAAUAAAUCUCACAAGAUUUGACUGUAUCAUAAGGGAGAGUUCUCCUGCCCAAGCUCUUUAUGCUUGCCGCCAUCCAUGUAAGAUGGGACUUGCUCCUCCUUGCUUUCCACCAUGAUUUGUGAGACCUCCCCAUCUAAAUGGAACUGUGAGUCCAAUUAAACCUCUUUCUUUUGUGAAUGGCCCAGUCUUGGGUAUGUCUUUAUCAGCAACGCAAAAACAUACCAACUAACAAGGAAACUUUAAUUGGUGAGGAGCAAGUGACAGGAACUUUUAGAGAUGGAGUUUAUUUUAGAAUUCGUAUUAGUAAAAUAAUGCCUGGGAAUAGUGUUUGUUCCCAUCAGCAAGAGAAAAAUUCAUGAUUUAUGGGACAUUGGGUAGAAUAUUCCAGUUAGAUUUUUGUCUUAGUCAUGGAAAAUAAAUAGUUCUAGACUGAGCACCUCUCCAUACCCAUCCAACAAAUCAGAAAAGAUAGAUCUAAAAAAAAAAAAAAAAAAUCAAGCUGUUUCCAAGUAACUAAACUGUCACAGAAUAAACCUCAGCUAUAUAGAAAUAUAAAAAUAUACAAUACCCAAGAAGAUAAUUCAAACUAGGCAUGCAGAGAAGUACUAAAAUGCAGCCCCCAUAUAGGAGAAUAAUCAAAUUGACACAUGAUAAAAUUAACAGUCAAGGAUCAUUAAACUGUUAUUAUACCUACAUCCCAUUGGUUUAUAAAGAAAUAGUACCAUAGAGAUACCAAAAAGACACAAAUUGAACUCUGUUUUUUGAGAUGAGGUCUUGUUCAGUCACCCAGGCUGAAGUGCAGUAGUAUGAACAUGGCUCGCUGCAGCCUCUUCCUCCUAGGCUCAAAGGAUUCUCCUGCCUCAGCCUCCCAAGUAACUGGGACUCCUGAUGCACACCAUGCAUGACACCUGGCUAAUUGUUGGAUUUUUUUUUUUUUUUUAAGUAGAGAUUGAAUCUUACUUUGUUGCCCAGGCUGGUCCUGAACUCCAGGGCUCAAGUGAUCAACCUCAGCCUCCAGAAGUGCUGGCAUUAUAGGCAUGAGCCACCACACCCAGCAGACUGAACUUUUGGGUAUGAAAACUAUUAAGUCUAAUAUGAAAAACACACUAUAUUGUAUUAAUGGGAGAUUAGACAUUGCAGAAGAAAAAUGAAUUUGAGAUAGCAGUUAGACAGGAAACAGUAAUUAAACUAAAAUCAUUGAGUAGUGGGACAAAUUUAAGUGAUCUAAUUUAUAUAACUGGAGUUCCUCAAGGAGAGUUGUGAGCAGAAAAAUUUUGAAGAAACAAUGGCCAAAAUUUUCUAAAGAUGAUGAAAACUAUAAACCCAUGGAUUGAAGUGCCUCAAUGAACCUCAUACACAUGCAGAAAGUGCACCCAGGCACAUGUAUACCAAAGCACAUCAAAAGUAAAUUGCUUGCAAUCAGUGAUGAACAAAAAAAUCUUAAAAGCAGCCAGAGAAAAAAAUACAUGUUGGAUACAAUGGGAAAAAAGAUAAAUAUGACAGCAGGUUCUUGAAGGAAACAGUGCAAACAAGAGCACAUUAGAGCAACAUUAUAAAGUACUUUUUAAAAAAUUGUCAACCUAGAAUUCUAUACCCAGAGAAAAAAAUUUUUAAAAGCAAAUUAGAGAUUUUCAGACAUAUAAGAGGCAGAAAAACAUCAUUGCCAGGAGUCCACACUAUAAGAAAUUUUAAAGGAAAUUCUUCAUAAAGAAGGAAAAUUAUACCAGUUGGAAAUAUGCAUAAACUAAUGGCAUGCACCAAAACAUAACCUAAUGGAUAAAUAUAUAUUAUUUUUUAGCAUGUAAGUCAUUUUAAACAUAAUUGUCCGUUUAAAGAAAAUAAUGACAUUUACUUUAGGGGUUUUAACAUGUACAUAAGUAAAAUAUAUGAGUAAUACUGCAUUAAGGGAAAAAUGAAAGUAUUUUGUUGUAUGAUUUUUAUCCUAUAUAUGAAGUAAUGUAGUAUCAGUUGAAGAUAGGCUGUGAUAAGCUAAAGCUGUAUAAUAGUGACCCUAAAGCAACCACUAAAAUAACAAGAUUAUACCAAAUAGAUGAACAAAGGAGAUGAUGUUGGUUUUUUAAAUUAAGAAAGAGGCAGAAAAGGAGAAAGAGCAAGCAAUAGAUGGGACAAAACUUAAUAUAUAAGUAAUCACAUUAUUCGUCAGUGGUCUAAGCCACCCUGAUUAAAAAGGAGAGACUCUCAAAUUGUAUUUAGGGGGGAAGAAAAAGCAAGAUACAAAUAUAAACUGCUUGCAGGAAACCUACAUGAAAUUUAAAGAAAUAAACUUAUGUACUCUGCUAAUAGUAACCAAAAGAAAGCUAGAGAGUAACUAUAUGAACAUAGAACAAAACAGAUUGUGGAACAAGGAAUAUUACUGGGAAUAAGGGAGAUCAUUUUAUAAUGAGGACAGGACACUGCUAAACAGUGUUAACUCUGUUUUUUAUGUACUUAAAAGACAGACGUAAAAUACAUGAAGCAAAAACAGAUAUAACUUCAAAUAGAAGCCAACCAAUCCACAAUUAUACUUGAUUUUAUUAGCAUAUUCUCAAUGGUUAAUAGAAUAAGGACAAUCUAAGGACAUAGAACACUUAAAAAUUACUAUCAACCAAUUUGAUAUAAUUUCCCUUAUGAGACUACUUAAGAGGGAAAAAAGGGAUAACCUAAAUAGCUUUAUAUCUGUUAAGAAAAUUGAAUUUGUGGCUCUGGGGGAUUUGUGCAUGGUAAGAAGCUGUGCGACAGCACAAUGAGGUACCUUUGAUGAAAUUAUGACCAGGUGGGCACGAGUUAAUACCACAUAUAACAAAAGACCCUUGCCUGCAACAUCAUGGGAGGACAUGAAGAAGGGAUCCUUUGAGGGAACAAGCCAAAACCUACCAAAGCAUAAACAACUUGAAGCCAAUAGCUAUCCCUUAAAAAUGAUGCACCCCAAUCAAAACAUAAAAUGAACAAAAAGAAAAAAAGAGUACUUAAAUCAAGAUGUGAAUGGAUUCAUGGAAUACCUAAGACAGAAUUCACAGAUGGUUCACAAUGGGCAAAUUAUAGCAACAGAUAGGAAGUAAGGGAAGAAAUUGCAGUUGCUUUAAAGAAAGACAGUCAAUGGGAAGGAAGAAGAUUAAAAAGACAAGUGGCAAAGAAAAAUGCAGUGGUGUUUCUAUUGUAGAAAACCUGGUCAUGGAAUUGCAGAUUGCCCUGCACCCUUGAAAAUCAACAUACUGGAGUAUGUUACAGGUGUGGGUCCACAGAGCACGAAAUAACCAAGUGUAAGGCUAAAGUAGAUCCGGCUCUUGGUGAAUUUCCUUUCACAAAAUGUUUUGUUUGUGGAGAAAUGGGGCACCUCUCUAGAGCUUGUCCUGAUAAUCCCAAAGGACUCUAUGCUGAUGGUGGUGGUUGCAAACUUUGUGGCUCUGUGAAACAUUUAAAGAAAGAUUGCCUGGAAAAUCAGAAUUCAGAUCGAAUGGUCACAGUUGGUCACUGGGCAAAGGGAAUGAGUACAGAUUAUGAAGAAAUUUUGGAUGCACCUAAACCACAAAAACCCAAAACAAAAAUACCUAAAGUUGUUAAUUUUUGAUAACAACUAGCACUGUCAUUUACCACCUCAUUUUUACCUUCUAAACCAGGCUCACUUAACAAGUUAGAGUUGGGCUCCCCUGUAGUCAGGACUAUACUGUAGAUAGCAGUAUGAUCUGAGUGUGGUCAAAAACAAUUUUCUUUAUUCUGUUCAUCAAAUAGUACUUCUACCACUGUUUGGAAAAAAUUGAAGAAAAGAAUAAGAUGGUUAAAUGGAUUCUCUAAAAGAACAUAUUUUAAGAGACAGAACUUAGGCAUAAAUAAGUGGUUGUAUACCUAAUUGUAACAAUCAUCCUUUAUAAAAGCAAAAUUAUGCAUAAAUGUGAAACGCCCCUAAACAAAGGGUACAGAUGAACCAUCGGUGAUACUGCUUUCUUGGCUCAGAGUAUCAAUUUAUUAUUAUAAUAGAAAGGUACAAGUUGCUAGAAAGUCUGUAUUUUUAAGAUAUGGAAUAAAAAUGCAUUUUCUAUU